UUGGUUGAUGGUAAUGGGCCAGAAAGGAAUAGAAUGGAAUACUAAUAGGCCUGAUUAUUUUGUUUGGUUGAAAAAUAACAAUUUUGGAAAAGAAUUCCAUAGUAAUGGUAUUCUCCCAAACUAAUGGAAUUGCUAUUCCAUUUGUUAUUCGGUGGAAUUAUAAUUCCAUUCCAAUCUCUCUUCUACUCUAGCCAUGGGCCAAGCCCAACAAACCCUCACCCUAGCUGAAGAUUAACCUGCCAUUGAUACCACUGUGACCGUCUCCUUCUUCUUCUUCGAUCGAUUAGGCUCACGCCGCUGCAAGUGGCAGGAGGCUCACGCCGCUGCAAGUGCCGGGAUCCUUGCUAGUCUGGUAGCGUUGCCAGAGUGUCCCAGAUGAUGAGAAUGAUGAAUGGGCGAGACUUCUGAUUGAUGGCUCUCUUUAGUACACAGCUCGGGAAAGAGUUAGAAAGAUCAUGCUUAUUCACUUUGGUCUAAAAUAAUUUGCAGGACAAUAUAUAUUGCCUUUGACAUUCAGUAGUAUAUCUGGUGUAAUGUGUUAUGCUCAUAAUUUUGCACACAAUUAUUUUGAGCAUAAAUAUGGGUAUUGGACAUGAAUACUUAUACUUUUGAACAAGUUUUUAUGUGAUUAUAUAGUUUUUUUUAAAAAAAAUAUAA